CAUGUUUUCAGAAGCAAAGUGUCUGUUAUGCUGACAUGUAAGAAGUUGAAAGAGAAGUCAGGCAGGUACUCAUCAGUGACUUUCACAUCAUUUAGUUAAGAAUCUGGCAAAAAUAGGAACACUUUUUCAUUGUUAUUUUAUCUCUGCUUACUGCAUGCUGUGGACACAACCAAGCAGGGCAGCACACUGUACCUUGGGACCUGUGCUGUGCACAGCAGCAUCACCAUGGCUUCUGUUAGUGGUACAAGGCAGGCCUGGGAUGAAGGAGAGGUGUGGAGUGUCGGCUGCCCUCUGAGUGGUGGUGCCACUGUGCUAGGGUGGGACAUUAGUUCUGUAGCUGGGCUGUGUGCUCUCCCUUUUGGUACAAAUAUGUGUCCUGGAUGCUACUGUAAUUCCAUGUAAGUGUAUGAUGCUAUUUAUUGUUGUUAUUGAUCAUUCAAAGACAUUAAAAUAUCCAAUUAGGAUAACUAUUCGUUAUGAUAUAGAAAGCAUUUUUGAUGGGGGCAGGAUGGAGUCCAAGAUGAAGCACAUUUGCAUGGAUUUAAAGACAAGAGCGCAGCCUGCAAAUAGGAAUUUCCACAGUGGAUUUUGCCUUUGAAAAUCUAGGGUAGGAGAAUCUCCUGCUAAGCUUCGGAUGGAGUCCCAGGCAGGAGGCUGAGAAAUUCAUUCUGUGAAUGCAGACAGUCCUGCUGUCUAGAGGAACCAAGCAGGUCCUAGGCAAGUGCUUGAACAUCCACAGUCAUGUUCAUCUUCAGGCACUUCUGUUCCUUUGCUUCAGGAAACCUGUCAGAAUACAAUCCAAAAUGUAGCUGAUGCUUUACAAAGUGUAGCAAGACUUAAUCUGCCCUUGUGUAACUUCGCACAGUGCAAAUCACUAAGCAGAGAGAGUCUUCAGAGAGAUUUAUGGUCUGUGGAACACAAGAACACCCAAA
rnacentral:lncRNA from 1 species